rnacentral:hammerhead_ribozyme from 1 species
UCAUUGCUGACGAGACUCAAACAAGUCGAAACAGCCGUCCAGUGC